rnacentral:misc_RNA from 1 species
GGAGCAGAUAAAGAGUCCCAGCAUCAGUGUCUCUUACCAAAACCAGUCUCAAAAUGGCAAAACUUACUUUCUCACAUUAGCCCCUAGUUCACAUCCAACUAAACCUAACCAUUCCCAAGUUCCCAGAAGGAGAAAGAGACCCGCUAGUCUCUCUCCCUAUCAUUCUCCAAGACUUAGCUCAACGCCUCAACCUUCGUAUCACUUCGGCUUGUUGUGCCUGUCUUAGGGUUUCUUUUCACUUCUUUGCUAUGAGACUACCAAAGAAAUUAGCUCUUAUUGCCACAACAAGUGGUCUUUUCUGGAAGUCAGCUGUAUAGGUCUUCUGAGGUGCUGCCGUAGGAUUUUGUUGAUCUUAUUGCUCAUGCUUUUAAUAUUGAGAAACAGCUGAUUCAUCAUAACAGUUUGCAGCACAAAUGGAAAGUUUUGGUGAAGCCUCUUUUAGCGGUGUCAAUUUCUCUGUGAAGAAGAAGAGGAGCAGUGUAUCUCGCCGGCCUUGUUCUGAUUCACAGAAAUUUUCACAGAUUCAUACACUUCUGCCACAGUUCACACAAUCUUUAGGCAGUUGUUAUAAUGAAGAAGAAAGUGAAGCAAAAGUUGGUUCUGAUGGUCUGAGAAGUGAGAACAAGCUAAAGAAGCUUAAACUGAAGCUUGGUGGUGUUACUCACACAAUACAUGCUAAGUAUGCGUCAGAAUCUUCUUCAUGUUUUGAUAUCCAUCAGCCACAAGAGAAGUUUCUUUUUCAGGAGUCUUCUUUCAGAAAGGAUCAUUCUAUGAGAGGAAAGAUGCAUGGUGAAAGUUUUUAUGUGAAUGAAACAUGCAAAAAUGAGCCAGCUCGAAAGAGUAAGCGGAUUCCUAAGAGACGUGUAAUGGACAUGGGAUUUAAUGAAGAUGAUGAUGCGGAUGAGGAAAUCCGUUACCUUGGAAGAAUCAGUGAUUCUAAAGUUUCUUCAGAUGGCAGGCAAAUGGAGGAUGAAAUUUAUGCUGAUAUGAGAGAUUAUCGACUAUCAAACUCGGGCAAAGAUGGAGCAACGAAGUUAAGAUCAGAAAAAUUCUAUGACGAUGGAGACUAUGUGGAAGAUGAAAAACUUAUAUCAGAUAAUGAGCCUGGAUAUAAAAGCAAGAAACUAGGAUUUGUUGAAGGAAGGAAUAAAAACAAUGCCAGUCUGAUUGAGUUCCCAAAUGGUUUGCCUCCUGCCCCACCUAAAAAACAAAAGGUGAAACUCUCUGAAGUGGAGCAGCAACUGAAGAAAGCUGAAGCUGCACAGAGGCGCAGAAUCCAAUCAGAGAAGGCAGCUAGGGAGGCUGAGGUUUGCUUUUUAUUCUCUAGUACUUCUAUAGCUGCCUGACAAUAUCAGGGAAACAGUCACAACAUCGUUUCAUUUUAGGCUGAGGCAAUCAGAAAGAUACUUGGUCAAGAUUCUGGAAGAAAGAAAAAGGAGGAAAAGAUGAAGAAAUUGCAUGAUGAAUUGGCUCAGGGAAGGGCUGCCAAAUCAAGUACACUGGGAUUGAAUACCAUAAGAUGGGUGCUUGGUCCUACUGGAACUGUUGUUAUUUUUUCUGAUGACAUUGGUCUGCCAAAUAUAUUCAACUCAGUGCCAUGCAGUUAUCCUCCACCUCGUGAAAAGUGUGCCGGUCCAAAUUGUACAAAUGUUUACAAAUACCGCGAUUCCAAGUCAAACCUUCCGCUCUGCAGUCUCCAUUGUUACAAGGCAAUACAUGGAAAGGUGCAAGCUCUAAUUACCUGUUGAUACAGUCUCUGCUAUUUUCCUAGGUUGAUGAAGAAAUCGUUGAUGCUAUAUUUUGUAACCUUAAUUUGGUUGAAUUCUAACAUGUUUAGUCUUAAAGUGAGCUCAAAUUAAUUUAACCAAGGGCUUUGGCAUUUAGCUUGAUAUGUGAUGUUUCUUCCUUAAACGUCUUUUGAGCUCAUAAUACUGAUUAAUCAUGCAUGAAUGUUGAUGUAUCUGAGCUGGAGGGCAACGAAGCUAGGAGGCUUUACACUUUUAUUAAAAUCAUUAUUAAAGAAUCAAUGGAAAUUGUUGCGGCCAAUAUAUUUCUUCAUGCCUGCUGCUGAAAAAUUCUUAAUACUUUGUCAUGACUGUGUGAACGGUAAAUUUAUAAAAGAAUAAAUAAA